GUAUUAAAGGCAACGCCUGCCCAGUGAAGAAUUAAACGGCCGCGGUAUCCUAACCGUGCAAAAGUAGCAUAAUCAUUUGUCUAUUAAUUGUAGACUCGUAUGAAAGGCAAAAUGAGAGCCCAACUGUCUCUUAUAACAAAUCAAUUAAACUGAUCUUCUAGUACAAAAGCUAGGAUCUCCCCAUAAGACCAGAAGACCCUGUGAAGCUUCAAUUAACCUAUUAAACCCAAUAAUAACUAAUUUAGGUUGGGGCGACCUUGGAACAAAAAAGAACUUCCAAAAAAUGACUUCCUCAUAUAAAGGCAAACAAGCCAUAAUUAGACCCAGUAUAUCUGACAAAUGAACCAAGUUACUCCAGGGAUAACAGCGCUAUCUUCUUCAAGAGCCCAUAUCAAAACGAAGGUUUACGACCUCGAUGUUGGAUCAGGACAUCCUAGUUAUGCAGCCGUUUCUAAGGGUUCGUUUGUUCAACGAUUAACAGUCCUACGUGAUCUGAG
rnacentral:rRNA from 1 species